rnacentral:tRNA from 1 species
GCUAGCGUAGCUUAAUACAAAGCAUAACAGUGAAGAUGUUAAGAUGGGCCCUGAGAAGCUCCGCAUGCA